UACGUAGGGGUGCAAGCGUUGUCCGGAUUUAUUGGGCGUAAAGCGCUCGCAGGUGGUUCGUCGCGUCGUGCGUGAAAGACCCCGGCUCAACUGGGGGAGGUCGUGCGAUACGGGCGGACUGGAGGCCAGUAGGGGGAUGCGGAAUUCCGGGUGUAGUGGUGGAAUGCGUAGAGAUCCGGAGGAACACCAGCGGCGAAGGCGGCAUCCUGGACUGGUCCUGACACUCAGGAGCGAAAAGGCGUGGGGAGCGAGUCCGG
rnacentral:rRNA from 1 species